rnacentral:rRNA from 1 species
UACGGAGGAUGCAAGCGUUAUCCGGAAUGAUUGGGCGUAAAGCGUCCGCAGGUGGCAAUGUAAGUCCGCCGUCAAAGCGUCUGGCUCAACCAGAUAAAGGCAGUGGAAACUACAUAGCUAGAGUAAGGUAGGGGUAGAGGGAAUUCCUGGUGUAGCGGUGAAAUGCGUAGAGAUCAGGAAGAACACCGGUGGCGAAAGCGCUCUGCUGGACCUUAACUGACACUGAGGGACGAAAGCUAGGGGAGCGAAUGGG